UUGGAGGGCAAGUCUGGUGCCAGCAGCCGCGGUAAUUCCAGCUCCAAUAGCGUAUAUUAAAGUUGUUGCAGUUAAAAAGCUCGUAGUUGAAUUUCGGGGUCAGUAGGUUGGUCAUGCCACUGGUAUGUACUGGUCUCACUGAUUCCUCCUUCCUGAUGAACUGUAAUGCCAUUAAUUUGGUGUUGCAGGAAAUCUGGACUGUUACUUUGAAAAAAUUAGAGUGUUUAAAGCAGGCUAACGCCUGAAUACAUUAGCAUGGAAUAAUGAAAUAGGACGUUCGAUCCUAUUUUGUUGGUUUCUAGGAUUGACGUAAUGAUUAAUAGGGAUAGUUGGGGGCAUUAGUAUUCAAUAGUCAGAGGUGAAAUUCUUGGAUUUAUUGAAGACUAACUACUGCGAAAGCAUUUGCCAAGGAUGUUUUCAUUAAUCAAGAACGAAAGUUAGGGGAUCGAAGACGAUCAGAUACCGUCGUAGUCUUAACCAUAAACUAUGCCGACUAGGGAUCGGAUGAUGUUAAUUUUUUAAUGACUCAUUCGGCGCCUUACGGGAAAC
rnacentral:rRNA from 1 species